GCAUAUCAUUAGCAGAGGAAAAGAAAUUAACUAAGAUUCCCUCAGUAAUGGCGAAUGAACCGGGAAAAGCUCAAAUUUAAAAUCAUUUAUCAAAAUGAAUUGUAGUUUAAGAAUGUUUAAUUAAAAAUGUUAAGCCUAUUAAUUCAAUUGGAAAAUUGAAACAUAGAGGGUUAUAUUCCCGUAUAUGUAGGUACUUGAUAUUUAAUAAUUAUUCAUUAAAGAGUCAGAUUGUUUGGGAUUACAGUCUAAAUUAGGAGGUAAAUUUCUUUUAAAGCUAAAUAUUGGUAGGAGACCGAUAGCGAACAAGUACCGUAAGGGAAAGAUGAAAUAGAACCUUGUAAAGGGGUUUAAACAGAAAGUGAAAUCGUUAAGAGGGAAACAUUUAAAACUCGAACUAAAGGAACAAAUAUUGAUGUAAUUUACAACAAAUUUUGGACCUUUUAAAUCUCAAUAAUUAUUAUUUUUGGUUAAAAAUUGUUUUUAUAACAAGGUUUCAUUCAACGUAUUGAAACUUAAAAGUAAAUGUCAAUUAACUAAUUAUGAUAUUAAACCUAUUUAUUACACCUUCAUGUUUUUAUUACUGAACAGCAAUCUUUUUAAGAUUAUUGUUCAACUAAUUCGAACACAGGUGCUAUGGGAAAAAUAUUGAUAAUAGAGUUUUAAAUGACCCGUCUUGAAACACGGACCAAGGAGUCUAACAUAUCUGCAAGUACUAUAAUUUCAAAUUAUAAUGCGCAAUGAAAGUAAAUUCGAAGGUAAGAGUUUUUUUAUUAAAUGCACUACCGACCGAUUUCAUCAGGAUUCUUCCUAGAAAUUUGAGUUAGAGCAGACAUGUUGGGACCCGAAAGAUGGUGAACUAUGCUUUGAAUAGGGUGAAGCCAGAGGAAACUCUGGUGGAAGCUCGUAGCGAUUCUGACGUGCAAAUCGAUCGUAAAAUUUGGGUAUAGGGCGAAAGACUAAUCGAAACCAUCUAGUAGCUGGGUUCCCGCCGAA
rnacentral:rRNA from 1 species